UGCGCGGCCACCGAUCUAGACAUGAUCCUCAGCGGCAGCAUGGGUUAGGACUUCACUAUGGUCUCAGGAAAAUGGAUUAUGUUUAGAAACAUUAGCUUGGAAGAAGGAAGCUAUCGAUCUGGGAAGAAUUGAGACAGUUAUGGAAGACGAGGUGAACUAAGGAACCAAGGGACCAAUACAGCUGCAGGACACACUCUGAGCUCUUGACCUGAUUCCCCGC